CUCAUUAGGAGUUAGCCUCCAUGAAGAGCAAAUUAGAAACUUUCGCUCUGCAGAAAAAAAAAUGUUGGAUGAAACAGAGAAAAAGAUUUGUCAAGAUGUGUGUGUGUGUGUGUGUGUGUGUGUGUGUGUGUGUGUGACUGUGGCUGCAUUAGGGUGGGGGGGCUUUGGGGGGUUUGCAAAGAAGCUCAAAAUGGCUUUUUAAUCACAUCAUUAAAAGGACUUUGAAUUAUGAAUUUGUCACAAUGGAUGUCUUUAGGCGUGGGAGCAAAACGAGAGAGGGAUAUUUCCUCUUUUCUUUCUUGGAGAAUGAGCCCAACGAGGGCCAUCGCUCCGAGGACGCUCCGUGUGCAGGAAUGGCCGUGUGGAGGUGGGACUCGGCGUAUUAAAGGCAAUCAAGGAUGUCGAAUAGACCUUGAUGAACAAAAGCAGGAGAAAAUUAAGAAAACGGCGGACGAUCAAAUUUGAAUGUUCACUCAACGCCUCCUCUGAACAGCAAUUCCGCAAUCAAGCCCGUCUCCAUCUCGUUAAAUGGGCUUCACGACCCGACGUUUCAGGAAGGUGUGUUAAUUAAUUUACAUUUGUUACAUGCUGUGUUCUUUCAAAAUAACUUUUUUCUUCUCAGAAAGUUUGGAUUGGGAAGCUAAACACUCGGAAGGAACUUUACUUUCCAGUGACUCACAAGGUUCGCACGCGGUCGGAGGCGGUUGCACGUCUGACCGGCGGCACACCUCACCCACACCUCGCCCACACCUCGCUGGGGAAAACACUUUGGAGGAUACCUCACGGUAAAAUAGGUUUUUUAUGUAAACAUUAUUAGACGGAAGUGUUUUUUGAGGAAACUAGCUCAGUAGCCAGCGGUCAUAAAUAUGUCCUCAUUCACUGGUCAAAAACCUUGUAAUUGCAAUUGAGCAUGAAUCUUUUUUUACAUUAGCAAUAAAAUGACAAAGUCAUGAAUUGGACCAUGAGCAAAGAGUAACAGUAACAAUCUUGUUGAUGGAGUGUUAAAAAAUAAUUUAUUCAUUAAUUUUUUUAAUUUGUUGCAAUGGGAAAUUGGAAAGGUUCACAGGCGCAGCAACAAGAGGAGGACGGGGACGUUAACACGAGCCAGGGGUCAAACCUGCCGACACGCGUGAGACACAUUUGGCAGGAGUUUGUGUGGUAGAGAGACACAGCGAGUGAGGAGAGGUGGAAGGAGAUGAGCGUGAUUGAAGAUCUGAAAAAUAGGAUGGGGAAGUUAGAUAAACACUGUUUCCGGCAUUAUUGUUGUUUUUUUAGCGUGUCCUUUUUCUCUCUUGUUUGUCUCUGUUCAGAGGACAAUUCACUCAGUGGAAUUCAAAUGUUGAUAAAGAGAAAAUUGCGUUGGAUGGGAGCGAGGAAACAGGAAAGAUACACCCAAAGAAGCUCCAGAGGGACAUUCAGGAGGGAGGGAGGAAAAAAAUAACAAAUAGACACUGUAACGAUUGAGAGAUUAAAAAAAAAGGAGAGAAACAAGAGGAAAAUGUGGCUUCAUCUCCGAAACUGAGAGAACAGAAGUAACACGACGCACACACAUUUGCAUGUACGUCCUCUUUCUCACACACAUGGUACAUUUGUUCCACACACACCAACGCCAACACGCUCUUUGACUAUCUCUUGAUGUGCAGAACGCUACUAAGGGUUGACACAAUGAGAAAACGGGUUCAGGAGAGAAACACAAACAAAUUUAGACCCGAAAUUGGAGCCGUCGUUGGACUGCACCGCUCCUCCGCAAACACCUCAAUUCUCUCAUUACACUCUAUUAUAGUGGCAAUCCACAGACAAAAGAGUUCCUCCAGCACUGGUAAUAAGAAAGCAAGUCGGCCCUCGAUUGUAUUUUCGGACCCCAGGAGUCCCGGCGGCGGUGGAGGGGCUCACACACGGGCAGACACACACAAAGCAGAGAUUGGAAUCGAUUUGGAAAGCUUUUGUGUUCCUUCUUGAAUUAUUUGUCUUCGUGGAGCGAAAUACAGGUACAGUCAGGAGUAACUAAUCAUGAUUUAAAGUCAGGGUUACACAAAAGAGAUAUUCUGUAAUUGCAUUUUACAUUCAAACAUUCUUAGGUUUUUCAUCAAGUCAACGUAGUGUCACUUUGAUGGUCUCAGAUUCCUGAAUUCAGGUACAUUUUGUGUUCCAAUCAUUUUCCCCAGCUUCUCUCUCUCCCCGGCAAGCAGGAUGAGUCCAUUCAUUUUAUCUACAGCACAUUAACUUUGCAAGUGUAAAAGGAGAGUGAGGCGUUGAACCCGAGGAUAGGUGGGAUUCGUUAGAGGCUGCAGGACUUAAUGCCGGCUUCACUGCACCGCAGUCAAUGAAGCAGGAGAGCUUUAUAGUGUGUAGGUGGACUUUUACACUUCUCUUCAUUCUUAUAGAGGCCCUUGUGAUUUACAGCUGAUGAAACAGGGAUCCAAAACCCUGCAUAGAAGGAAACGGAUGGUAAAAAGCAAAGACAGCUUUUUGAAAUCAUUGUAACAUAAUUCUGCAAGUUUCAUGUUAGUCUCUAGUUGUGUCUUUUACAAUCUAAUCCUAAUCAAAGCAACAUGAUACAUUUUGUUUGGCCACCUGGGGGAAGAGUCGUAAAUGCAAAAUGAAUGAACAAACAGUCCCCAACAGACCCAUCAUGAAGCCACAUCAGCAUUCAUUGGGAUCUGUGUUUCUGUGCACCUGAGGAAUUAAAGACCAUUGUUCCGGUGGAAAUGUUCCACUGACUAAGAGACAAACUGCAAUAAUGCAAUAAUGCAAUUUGCAACACGGCCCUUAAUAAGUCUGAAAGCAAACAUCAUACAAUGCAGCAAAGACACAAAGUCUAUUACACAAAUAUACACGAAUGGGCAAUGACUAAAAGGGAGGUAAAUCUCAGCCACUCUGGCACCAUCUUGGCAGGUGUUUAUAUGAGCAGAGCCCGAUAAUGCAGCGGAGUAGAAAGGCAAGGUUAAGAGCAAGAUAAACUCACAAUUUGCUGAUGAAAGAGUUUGAGUGUUUUAGUGCAGAAAGUGCCCGGUGGGAGAGGGGCUGUGAAAGCAGAGCUAGCGUCACACAGAUAAGAGCAACCCUCUUUAAUCCUCCACUGCGUCCCUCCACAAAGUCAAAGAGCUUCAACCCUGUGUCAUGAUUUUAUUUUUUCCAGCUUUUCAAAUAAACUAAAUACAGAUACAGCGCAUUCGCUCAACUUGUGGAAGUCUGAGUAAGUUAAAAUCAUUCCCCACGAGGCUUCCCACAUCUACGCUGCUGUUAGGUAGAAGCGGCUGGAAUCCUUUUGAGUGCCGUUCUCUCCAUCACUUGUCAGGAACCAGCUUUCACUGUGGAUCAAUAUCAAUGACAACAAGUUUUUUCGGAAUGAAAAUAUGCCAGCGUGGCUGUUCUGGACCGUUUGUGUUCUGAGAUUGGAUUUUGUGUGAAGGCUCUGACUGUGUGUGGAGAGGGGGGGGGGGGGCGGCGUUACGUGAAAACAAAGAGCACGGAGUGGGAGUGCAUGAUAGUCGAGGGGCUGAUUUGUGGCUCAAGGGGGAAAGAAUAAAAGCUGGAGUUGAAGAAAGAAAGAAAAUGAAGCAGAGAGAGCUGAAGGACCACAGGAAGAAGAAACAGGAGGAAUAAGCAGGCGAGAAAAGACAGAACGGAAUGGAGAGCAAGGAAGCAAGAGAGAAAAUGUUAAAUAAAAAGAAAGAAGUAAGCAAUAUCUGACAGUGGAGCGUGAGGCCAGCAGCUAAAUGGAUGAGUCAUAACUCAACUUCAUUAGCCAGUUUGCCUCUUGACCUAUCGACAUUCACAUUGCACCAAGUAAUCCCCGUACAUCGAUCUGCUGACCUCCUCCGCUUUACGAUUGUUACCUUUUCUGCAUCCAAGCUCCUAUAUAUUCCUUAAGCUCUGCCGCGCUGCCUCCCAGAAACCGCACCCCCCCCCCCCUCCUUUUUUACCACUAAUAUUGCGCCCCCACAAAUGAGCACGAAGGUCAGGACUAGUUUAUGCAUGCAGCAGGACUGUGGAGCGUAUAUA
ensembl:lncRNA